CUGCUUUCGGGGGGAGAGAAGCCAGCGGCUGCUUCCAGCGCGGGCGGGCGCAGCAAACAGGGGCGCCUCAGCAGCGCCGGGUGGGCGGGCGCAGAGCAGCGCUGAUGGCAGGGCGGGGGCCGCGCUCCCUCAGUCUUUGCAGGGCCCCUGCCCGGGGCGGCCGCUCGGGGUCCCGCCUGGGCCGAGCCGUGGCAGCGCUUCGGCGGACGGGCCUUGCGCUCCCGGGCCAGCGGGGGGGAGUUCCGCGUUGGGAGCGGAGGGGUUAAUUCUCUCUCUCCUCUCCCCCGAUCCGAAGGGGGCCGUUCACACCCGGGGGCAGAGCCGAGGUUCGGGUGCUGGGGGAGCUGGCAAGGCCCUGGGGGUCGGAUAAGCGGAGUUGGGAGUGACUCAGGGCCCGCACGGGUAAUCGCUGGUUCGGAUAAUCAGGAGUUCGGAUAACGGGGGGGACAGUAACUAUUAAGAGGGUAAACUAUGCCCUAGGGCACGAUUGAGGGCGGGUAAAUAGGGGUUGGGGAAGCGAUUUAUGCCCGGGGUACAGACACUGAUGUGGAUAAACCGAGGUUCGGGUACCCCCUUCUGUGGGGGGCACAACCAAGGGGGAAUCUGCACUCUUGGAUGGGCUUCACCGCUGUUAGGAGUCCACACUAACGUGGCUAGCCUCCUGAUGAGCAAAGUUUGUACUUCUGAAAUGUGCCGAUAGACUAUGUAUGUGAGUGCCCUUCUAGGUUUCCCCACGAAGCAGUCCCCAUGCACUGUGAUGCAAUUAGUGGGUUCACAGGAACAGUGCAUUGUUUGAGGAAAGAGUGAUCAAGUUUGGAGCAUAAGUUUGCAUGUGUGUAACAGAGGCCAGAAUUUGUCCCAAUGUCUCCUUUACCAAAGUGUAGCUAACGUGUUUCUCCAAAUUUCCCAGAUUACUGGACAUUCUCACAGCACGA